GAAAUGCGAUAAGUAAUGUGAAUUGCAGAAUUCAGUGAAUCAUCGAAUCUUUGAACGCACCUUGCGCUCCCUGGUAUUCCAAGGAGCAUGCCUGUUUGAGUGUCAGUAAAUUCUCAACCCCUCCAAGUUUGUAUUCGACUUUUUGAGGUUUGGAUGUGGAGGUACUGUCGGCCUUUUAUAGGUUGACUCCUCUGAAAUGUAUUAGCAGAACUGUUUGCGAUCCGUAACAGGUGUGAUAAUUAUCUACACCAGUGGGUUGCUUUUGCUUGUUCAGCUGCAAACUGUCUGCAUAGACAACUGAAAACUGAUUAUUUGACCUCAAAUCAGGUAGGACUACCCGCUGAACUUAA
rnacentral:misc_RNA from 1 species